rnacentral:misc_RNA from 1 species
UUAAGUUCAGCGGGUAUUCCUACCUGAUCCGAGGUCAACAUUUAGAUUUUCAUUAAGAGACAGGCUCCCAUCUUCCACCAUAGCGAUGUUUGUACGCCUGAGGUUGAUUGUAACCGUCGCUGAUUUUUAGGUAUGCCUUCCGGCAGUACCCAACAUCAAACAGUGAUGUUUGAGGGGUAUAAUGACGCUCGAACAGGCAU